UUGAAUGAGAUGAUUUGAGUAGGAACUCCAUCUCCCACGUGGUGUGGCUGGCCUCGUGUCUAUUAAAUGCUUUCUCUACUACAGUGCCGUGGGCUGUCUUUAUGCGGUGGGCAGGAAGAACCUCUCAGGCAGUUACAAUUACAAGCCCACAAAUUAAUUAGACCCAGUGCUGUAACACACUAGAUACAUGACUAUCAAGCUGAGAAGAAAAGACAGAUACCUGAGUUCCCCAGUCUCCUGCAAGUUUGAGAUCGGCUUGAGUGACAGUACUGAAUUCAGUGUUAGAGGUGGCCUCUAAAAGGGGCUCUCACAAUCUCCACCUCCUGGAAUUCAUGCCUGUGUGUAAUACCUUCUUGGUGAGUGUGGGCUGGAUUUAAUGGCUCAUUUGUAAUAAGUAGAAUAUGGCAGAAGUGAUGAGACAUCACUUCUGAGAUUAGAUUAUAGACGGUUGUGGCUUCCAUCUUGCGUGCUUUGGUUCUUUCUUCCUCUCUCAGAUCCCUUGCAUCUGGAGAAAGCCACUGCCAUGACAUGCAGUAGCCCUGAAGUGAGACCUAGAUGAGUACGUUUAGAAAUAGAUCUUCUGUGGCCAGCCAACAGUGACGUGAGUGAGUCCAGAAGCAGAUCUUCACCUAGUUGAACCAUCUGAUGACAGCAGCCCCAAACAAGUUUGAUGGCUACUUUGUAAGACACAGACCCUAAGGUUGAAUCACCCAGAUAUAUCACUAUGAGAUUCCUGACUCACAGACAUGGUGACGUAAUAAAUGCCUCUUGCCUGGGAUACUUUUUAAUGCAGCUAUAAAU
rnacentral:lncRNA from 1 species